CCUGGGCUUCCAUUUCACGAUCAGACAGGCCACCGCAAAUCUGGAUAAUACGGUCAGACAGCGUCGACUUACCGUGGUCAAUGUGAGCAAUGAUCGAAAAGUUACGUAUGUUCUUCAUAUAGUUAAAUAAUUAUGCCUUACGAAUUCCUGGAGGCCGCUGUUCUUAGCCUGACGUUUUUCAGUGCGAAAACGCAGCAUUCUACACUACAUCUCCGCUACCUGGAAAUGGACUUAGCGCCAGGUAUAGCGUGAAGAAAGGACGUUUUCUGUUUUAAGACGUAAAAAUGACAAAGCCCGAUGAAUCACCGGGCCUCAGAAGAGAGCGUCUCAACGCGAAGCUGGUCUGGCGCCAGCCCAACGCUGAGAAUGACAGGCUGCCACUCCUCGCGCGCGGCAAGCGUCGGGGAGAGGCCUUUGGCAAGCCAGAAUCCCCCCAGCCCCCCUAAUGCGGCACCGCACAUGGCGGCACCGUCGGUGCCAAACAGCAUCUGGAAAACGCCGCCCAUGAUAAACAGCCCGAGCAGCGGAGAGAGAUAGACCAGCAUGGCGGAACUGAGCAGGCUGCCUUCCGCGAUGCCGAGUUCAACUUUCUGCCCGGCCAUCAGCGGCUGUUCGCUCGGCACAGAAAUCGUGUGCGAGGUUUGCGGCCCGAGCUUAUUCAGCACGCGGCUGCCGCAACCGGCUCGGGAAGCGCAGCUAUUGCAUGAGGCUUUUACAUCGCAGCUCACCAGCGCAAUGCCGUUUUGCCACGAGACUACCGUCGCCCAUUCUUUGAUCAUUGUGCGGCCCUGAAUUUAAUGCUGUCGGAGAUGCG
rnacentral:ncRNA from 1 species